AACAUGCAAGUCGAGCGGGCGUAGCAAUACGUCAGCGGCAGACGGGUGAGUAACGCGUGGGAACGUACCUUUUGGUUCGGAACAACACAGGGUAAACUUGUGCUAAUACCGGAUAAGCCCUUACGGGGAAAGAUUUAUCGCCGAAAGAUCGGCCCGCGUCUGAUUAGCUAGUUGGUGAGGUAAUGGCUCACCAAGGCGACGAUCAGUAGCUGGUCUGAGAGGAUGAUCAGCCACAUUGGGACUGAGACACGGCCCAAACUCCUACGGGAGGCAGCAGUGGGGAAUAUUGGACAAUGGGGGCAACCCUGAUCCAGCCAUGCCGCGUGAGUGAUGAAGGCCCUAGGGUUGUAAAGCUCUUUUGUGCGGGAAGAUAAUGACGGUACCGCAAGAAUAAGCCCCGGCUAACUUCGUGCCAGCAGCCGCGGUAAUACGAAGGGGGCUAGCGUUGCUCGGAAUCACUGGGCGUAAAGGGUGCGUAGGCGGGUCUUUAAGUCAGGGGUGAAAUCCUGGAGCUCAACUCCAGAACUGCCUUUGAUACUGAAGAUCUUGAGUUCGGGAGAGGUGAGUGGAACUGCGAGUGUAGAGGUGAAAUUCGUAGAUAUUCGCAAGAACACCAGUGGCGAAGGCGGCUCACUGGCCCGAUACUGACGCUGAGGCACGAAAGCGUGGGGAGCAAACAGGAUUACAUACCCUGGUAGUCCACGCCGUA
rnacentral:rRNA from 1 species